rnacentral:tRNA from 1 species
UACGCCUACUAGGAUUCGAACCUAGACUUCAACCUUAGAAGGGUCGAGUGCUCGUCCAUUACACCAUAAGCGC